GUGGAUGUCAAGAAAUUGAUGAAAUGCGACGUAUGUGGCACUUCCCUGCCUACAAUGGAGAAGUAUUCGGUGCACCAGAUCGCUGCGCACAACUUCGAGGCUGACUACGUGCACUUGGUGUUCCGGAACAAUAAGGAAUUUCAUGAAUGGAAAGCAGAAGAAGAGGGUAGCCAAAACUGCUGGCUCAUUUUGCCCAGGGACCCCAAAAAGCUGGCUAGUGGAGAGACAAGGAUCCACUAUUACUGUAAUAGAUCAGGUGAGGCAAGGAAAAAGGAAGGUCAUAGUGACCGUCGGGAGAAAAGUCAGGGGAGCUGUAGGGCUGGUAAGAUAUGUCUUUCAUUUAUUACCGUCACAAUGGACAACACUCAGAGUCCGACACCUGAAGGCAUCACCAUAAAAGUCAGGUAUAAAAGAAACUAUUACGGUCAUAAACCAGAAAUUCAGCACUUGAGAAUGAGUGACAAGGAAAAGGCCAGCGUAGCAGAGAACCUAGAAAGGGGUGUGCCCAUGAAAACAAUUCUAAAGCGAAUAAGAACAUCUGUGGCAUCCAAGCUGAGGCCAGUGCACUUGGCAGAGUGCUCAACCCUGCAUAACAUCAAACAGCAGUUUAACAUUGCUGCUCCUGAACAUUGUCACACUAAUGACGCUAUCAGUGUAGACACAUGGGUGCUUGUGAUGAAAGAAAAAGGUUAAACACUUGUCCGCCUAUACAAGGCACAAGGUGCAGUGGACCCAAGUGGUACAUUUCCUUCAGCGGACUUUGCUCUUGUUCUGAUGACAGAGCCUCAGAAGGAGCUACUAGAAAAAUUGGGCUCUGCAGGGACUGUAUGUCUUGACUCCACACAUGGAACUACAGAGUACCAGUUUGAGCUGACCACUCUUCUGGUGCUAGAUAAAGUAGGAUCAGGUGUAGCUAUAGCUUAUUUCAUCUGCAACCGGAUGAACGAGCAAACUUUGACAGCAUUCUUCAAAUAUCUGGAGUCGGCCAUGGCCAAAAAAGUGGCCGCUAAGACAUUGAUAUCUGAUGAUGCGUCGCAAUUCUACAAAGCAUGGUCCAUGGUCAUGGGCGCCGCAAAACAGAAACUUCUCUGUGCCUGGCAUGUGGAUAACAAUUGGCGUAAGAAGAUACUCGAAUGAGUAGAGAAACAGCUAAGGCCACAUGUUUACCAUAGUGUGUGGCUACUCUUAGAGUUCCUCGCGGAAAAGGCAUUUGAAGAUUAUUUUAAGCAAUUCCUUUCUAGCGAGGAAGAAAAACUGAGGGACUUCCUGAAGUACUUCAAUGACCACUAUGCAGUUAGGCCGCAAGAGUGGGCCUAUUGCUUUAGGACUAGAGCAGCUGUCAACACUAACAUGCACCUCGAGAGCAAGCACAGGACGUUAAAGCAUACUAUGCUGGAGAGAAAACAGAAUAAGCAUGGUGACAAACUAAUUUCUGCCCUCAUGGACUUGACAAAUCAUUUUUUAAUGAAAAGGGCUAUCCAGAUGAUGAAAGGGGCAAAGGGUAAGAAGCUGAGCAGAAUUCAGAAGAACCACAGGUCUGGCAGUGAAAUGGCAGCUUGUGCCAAAUUAAAUGAAGACGGCAUAUGGACUGUGCCAUCUCAGUCUAUUAAAGGGCUCUCAUAUAAAGUGUCAAAAGUGGGAGAUGGUGCUUGCUGUCCUUUGAGGUGCAAGGAAUGCGCAGUGUGUGUGCAUACUUACAUGUGCACUUGCUAUGACCAUCUUAUACACUUUACAGUGUGCAAGCACAUUCACUGUGUGGUCAUCGCUAAUACAACUAGCAGCAACAAGGCCCAUGAGAGCUCACCCGAAGAAGCAUGUGAGGCAAGUCAGGCAUUGCACAUUGUACAGAGUAUAACAAAGCUGGAAGCAGCCAAAGCAGUGUCAAGCUCAGCACUCUUAAGAGCAAAAAUGGACUCAGUCAGACAGGCAAUAUCAGAUGGUGAAGUCUCUGAGGGUGUGGCUGAGAAGGCAAACAAUUUGUUUGAGCCAGUUUUCAUGCUUGUUGAAAGUGAAAGUGACCCAAAAGGAAAGAUGCCAGACCAUUCAAAUGAACCAGCCAACAAAAAAGUUGUGCACCUGUUAAGAUUUCACUCUACAAAAAACCCUAGAUUGUCGCAGCCAUCAUCUAGCCUUUCAAGGCCCACUGAAGCUCAAAAGGAAGUCCUUAAAUAACAGCUUAGGGACAGCAACAUAGAAACUGAAGAGAUAACCACAUCAGCAGGGCACGAUUACUGGUAACAAUUAGCCUCCAGUGCAGUUAGGAAGAGAGAAGUGGUGCAGUAGUGCUGUGCUGUCAUGCCUUAUUGAAGCAGGUUGAGGGCUCGCAUGUUAACAAAUCAUGACAUGUGGUCUCUGAUGAUUAGCCCGUCUGUUUUUGUCUGUGGUGUGCAGCCAUAUGUCACAGCUGGAUGGUAUGUGUGUUAGAGCACGAGAGAUGCCUCCAUGCUUGUUGUAUGAGCUGCUGGUAAGUGUUCUGUGAAAAUAGGUACAGACCCAGUGGUCAUCUCUGGUAUGUGGCAGCUGUUGGAUGGUAGUGUGUUAGAGCACGCCUCCAUGCUUGUCAUAUGAGCCGCUGGUAAGUAUGUCUGUACAUAGAUGUAAGGAAGUGCAUUGGAUGGUGUGUAGUGUUUCAGUGUGCAAAAGCCUCCAAUGUGUUUUGCUACUUAUAAAUUUGUGUAAACACUCAGUAGCGCAGUAGUUAUGAUGUUGCACUGCUGAGCUCGAGCUUGCGGGUUCAAUCCCAGCAAAGGUGGCUGCAUUUCAGUGGUGGUGAAAUGAAAAAAAAAAGCGUGUAGUUGAAUUUAAGUGCACAUCACAAAACCCAAGGUGGUCAAAAAUAAUACUGAGUCCCGCACUGUGGCAUGCCUCAUAAUUCGAUCUAGAUUUUGUGUUCCAUGUGAUGUUCUUAUUGCCCAUUUGAAUAAACUUUUAUUUUUCAGAUUACCAAAAUAGAGGGCAUAUGCAGUGGUAUUGUGUGCAGUCUGGAUAAGUUGCUCUGGUCAUGAGCACUCAAUUAAAUCUUCUGCAUAUUUGGCUGCAGCAGACAGUGUCAUAAUGAUUGUAAAGACUAUGCAGAAAGCUUUAGGCCACUCUACAUAUCAGAUCAGUUUUAUAUUGCCUCCCUUGUGGUGCAUCUCUUACUUGAGUAGGCAUAAUAACAAUUGGCAAUGCUUCCCUACACAUUUAAUAUUUUUCUUUUUUUCUUUUGGAAGAGUAACCUUGGAAGAAUAAUCUACAACAGUGCUCCUACCUUCUCUUUCACUGUCUCCCCAUUUCUUUUCUACACUUCAACUUCAUUCUACGCACUAUCUUAUUCUCCUCUUCAUCCUACAUUGAGGGUGUGGGAAAGUGAGCUAAGCGUGCAUAAAGAUUGCUGUGCUGAACUUAAUUGUGGCACUGACGAAGACAAAUCUUUGUCAAAAGGUUCACUCCAGCUACAUUCCCCCUCCAAGCACUGUUUAUCACUUCAAGCCUUCAUAUUCCUGUGAGCUUUUGUCUUGUUUACAGUUGUAACAGUCAUACUAUUUAUUACUAUCAAUAGCCAGCAUACAUUUAGCACUGCAAAGGGCUGUUUAGAAGACGUGCGAGUUUCUACUUCCCUUAUGAUAAAUACUCCAGACAUUCAGUCUCUAUUUUAUGAAAAUCGUUCAAACAUUGCCAGUGAUGACCACCAUAUGGGUUAAUGUCGGCUUGGGACUGAGGCUUUCCCGCAAAAAGAACAGUUAUGUUUUGCUCAUAUCAUGUGACUGGCAGUUUCUGCUGUAAUUUUUGCACUUGUCAACUGCACUGUGAAGAGUUAAGUUCUGUGAAUAUGUGCUGGCCUGAUUCUUCUUGUUCACGCAUUCCAGAUCUUGUGCUAUGAGAUGAGGAGGUGUAAAAUAAAAACACCGUGUAGAUUUCACAAUGCCUUUAAGAAACCACGCAAAGCUUGGAGAUGAAGCAUUACAUGCAACUUGAACCAAGUGUCUGGACACAGCGAGUGAAAGUUGUUUGGUCAUGAGCGAGGGUGUCGGUGUUACUUGUAACUACCUUUAAAUAAAAGUUUGUUUAAAAACAGUGGCUCAACUCUGUGUUCCCCCCAGUAAAAAACAAAACCAUUGGGAUUUUCAUGAGUGAGGGUGUCGGUGUUACUUGUACCUACCUUUAAAUAAAAGUUUGUUUCAAAACAGGGGCUCAACUCUGUGUUCCCCCGGUAAAAAACAAAACCAUUGGGAUUUCCAAUUCGCUUUUUAAACAUAAUUGACCAAUUUGAAUAAAAAAAACUUGAUGAAUCAAGAUAUAAGCUUGCCAUACCAUGGAAACACUUGAAACUCCUUUUGAGAAGCUUACUCGUACACGAACACACUAUAGCAAUUAUUUUCAAUCGUAUACCCACAAUUUGCCGCGUCACCACGUCAAGUUUCAAGGCAGAUUUUUUUUAGACUCCAGGAAGCUAUAUGCCUAAUUCUAUCCAUUGUUUACUGCAUUGCAUUUGAUUUUCUAUAACAAAUAAAAUUGAAUUCUCCAUUGAUUGCGCGGACGCUCACGUUAUAAUUAUAUGCUAUUAUUAUUGACUAGUCAUAUAUUUUCUUGGGGGGUGGGGGGCUGCACUGGUGGCGUUCUACGAAUUUGCGCCGCGUGUUUGUGCGGGUAAGCUUAAGCGCAGAAUUUUUUUUUGCGCGUUAUGAAAACAAUGCACGGCAGGUAUUUUAAUUAAUGCAACGAGCUGUAUGAAAUAUCGGUCAAGGGGUUGGAAACGUCGUUAUAGAGAAUCCCGACGAUUUUCUUUUGCGUGUGUGUAUUUGGAGUUGAUGCAGUUUUCUUUAUAUAUUUUGGCUACAUUGCGCCAAUUGCGCUUCCAUAGAAUAAAGAAACGCGCUUCCACGCGCUUGCCGACUCGAUUGCAAGGGGACAGCCUGAUCAACAUCAAUAUCAGCAGCAAUGGCGGAUUUGUGCUUGCCAUGGCGCUUGCAAAGUUUUCAAUAGUUUUCGCCUUUUAAGUGAUGCUUUUGCUAUUUUAACGUGUGGAGGUUCAUUGUACGUCUGUUUUUUCAAAUUUGGCAUGUGUUCUAACACAUGUGAAGGUGUAGCUUUUCUUCUUCAGCGGAUAUUUGUACAAGACCCUGUUCACCGUCUAUCAGCUCUAGCUCGGCAAGAAUAAAGCGGUUCCUUAGAAGUGGUGGAGGUGCUGUGGUUCUGCAUACCAAGGACAUAUAAGGUAACAGUGUUUGUGCCUUUAAUAUGUCGCAUUCGAUCAUUUUGAGACGUGGUGGUGUUCAUGCGUUAGCACAGUGCGAGGACAUCCACAAUGUAAGAGGUACAUGAUUCUCGAAUUGUAUACUCUCUCCGGGCUUUUCUCGCGACCUCAGCACAAGUAGUGGGAGCACCAAAACACUGACAAAGCUGGUGCAUGAAUGUUGCCCAGUCAGAAAGAUCUGGCUCUUGGAUCAAAGCCAAUUUUUUUUUUACAUUGUAGAGGCAGACGGGCAUGC
rnacentral:misc_RNA from 1 species